rnacentral:rRNA from 1 species
UAAUACGAACUGCACAAACGUUAUUCGGAAUUACUGGGCUUAAAGAGUCCGUAGGCGGCUCGGAGGGUGAGGUGUGAAAUCCCACAGCUCAACUGUGGAAUUGCGCUUCAAACCGCCGAGCUUGAGGAAGACAGGGGUGAGCGGAACAGAUGGUGGAGCGGUGAAAUGCGUUGAUAUCAUUUGGAACACCGGUGGCGAAGGCGGCUCACUGGGUCUUUUCUGACGCUGAGGGACGAAAGCUAGGGGAGCGAACGGGAUUAGAUACCCCGGUAGUCCUAGCUGUAAACGAUGAGCACUAGAUCGAGGGGACUCCCACAUCCUCUCGGUCGUAGCAAAAGCGUUAAGUGCUCCGCCUGGGGAGUAUGGUCGCAAGGCUG